CACAGCGCUCCCGUGGGUGAGGUCACUUCCCUGGGCGCUGAUUGGCCUCUGAGGAAGCCUUCCUCGAGCUGAUUGGUCGCAUGCACUUGCCAUGCCACAGCCACGGGUAAGUUGCGUGUCCAGUAUAGAAAACAGAGUAAGGGGAACUGCAUAGACAUCUGGGGUGCCACCACCGGGUGCCACCACGGGGCAUUUAAAGUCUAAAGAUGGACUGUGAGAGAAGCGUCCAAUAAAACUUCCCAAUCACUUUUAGACAGGCUGACUGAAUUUCCUACAGCAUCGUGGGUUAGAGAAACCCACGGUCAGGUAUUUCUGACCCCACUGUAUGGGGCGAAGACGGGCUUCGACCCCAUGGAGGGAAAGCGCCUUAAUGGCCUCGUUUAAACGUGCUAGAAGCGCUGGGAUAGAAGCCCAGCCAAGAAAACGGAGAUGGAAACAGGAAUAGAAAGGAACAUUCCAGAGUUAUUGAGCAAUUUGUGAUGAUUGAUGUGUUUCCUUUUCUAGCUCUCCGAGUCUUGUACCCUUGGAAAGUUGUGUCAAGACUCCACGCCUCAGUUUCUCCAUGUCUGAUGCAUGAAUCUGGGCGUGUUGUCUCCUGAGACCCCUGUUCCACAGUAGGAUUGGAGUGGACCCACUUGUGAAGGCUAAAGAAAGACUAGAAGGACCGAGCCCCGUGGACGGUCAGCACAGGACAAGAACAAUCCGGGCCAGCUGACCUGACCCUUGGCUACCCAGCUAGGCCAUCUCUGGGAAAAGAGCAAAGUACCUUAGGACGGG